GACGAACGCUGGCGGCGUGCCUAAUACAUGCAAGUCGAGCGCAGGAAAUCAUCCGAACCCUUCGGGGGGACGUUGAUGGAAUGAGCGGCGGACGGGUGAGUAACACGUAAAGAACCUGCCCUCAGGUCUGGGAUAACCACGAGAAAUCGGGGCUAAUACCGGAUGGGUCAUCGGACCGCAUGGUCCGAGGAUGAAAGGCGCUUCGGCGUCGCCUGGGGAUGGCUUUGCGGUGCAUUAGCUAGUUGGUGGGGUAAUGGCCCACCAAGGCGACGAUGCAUAGCCGACCUGAGAGAGUGAGCGGCCACACUGGGACUGAGACACGGCCCAGACUCCUACGGGAGGCAGCAGUAGGGAGUCUUCCGCAAUGGACGAAAGUCUGAUGGAGCAACGCCGCGUGAACGAUGAAGGCCUUCGGGUCGUAAAGUUCUGUUGUAAGGGAAGAACAAGUGCCGCAGGCAAUGGCGGCACCUUGACGGUACCUUGCGAGAAAGCCACGGCUAACUACGUGCCAGCAGCCGCCGUAAGAC
rnacentral:rRNA from 1 species